rnacentral:rRNA from 1 species
GACUCGUCACACUAUCAUUAACUGAAUCCAUAGGUUAAUGAGGCGAACCGGGGGAACUGAAACAUCUAAGUACCCCGAGGAAAAGAAAUCAACCGAGAUUCCCCCAGUAGCGGCGAGCGAACGGGGAGGAGCCCAGAGCCUGAAUCAGCAUGUGUGUUAGUGGAAGCGUCUGGAAAGGCGCGCGAUACAGGGUGACAGCCCCGUACACAAAAGCGCAUGUGCUGUGAGCUCGAU